AUACGAUGACGUUCGUCUUUGGGAUUGG
rnacentral:piRNA from 1 species